UGCGCAGGCGGCCAAGUGUGUCAGAGGUGAAAGCUCACGGCUCAACCGUGGAAUUGCCUUUGAAACUGCUUGGCUUGAGUCCGAGAGAGGAUGAUGGAAUUCCUGGUGUAACGGUGAAAUGUGCAGAUAUCAGGAAGAACACCGGUGGCGAAGGCGGUCAUCUGGCUCGGUACUGACGCUCAGGCACGAAAGCUAGGGUAUCAAACG
rnacentral:rRNA from 1 species